UUCUUGUUAGUAGUUCCGCGUUCAACGCGCUCGUAGUGAUUUGAAAACACAUACUAAAUAAAUAAAAAAGUUGGCCGCAACGCGGAUAAACCUAGUUUAUACAAUUAUUAUUAAUAUUAUUUUAAGAACCCCCCCAAAUUUUACUCUGGGCCGAGCUGGAGGCGGCCUGCAAUGUAUGAUCUGGUGAUUCCGAAUGUUGAUGCGUCUUCCUAAGCUCCGACGGUGGCGAUCCGGUGAAGAUGAACUUAAACCGCCUGACAUUGUUUCUGCUGCGAUCGGUGGCGAUGUGGUUGAAGGAGGGUUGGUAGUGGCGGUGUUGGGUUUUAGCGGCGGUUAGCAGAUGGCGGUGGCGAUGUGGUUGAAGGAGGGUUGGUAGUGGUGUUGUUGUUGGGUUUUAGCGACGAUUAGCAGGUGGUGUUGGUGAUGGGGGUUGAAGGAGGGUUGGUAGUGGUGGUGUUGUUGGGUUUUAAUGGCGGUUAGCAGGUGGCGGUGGUGGUGGUGGUGGUGGUGAUGGGGGUUAGCAGAUUGCGGUGGUGAUGGUGGCUGAAGGAGGUUGGUAUUGGUGGUGUUGUUGGGUUGAAGGAGGGUUGGUAGUGGUGGUGAUGGGGGUUAGUAUAUAGCGGUGGUGGCAGUGGUAGCGAUUGCAGCAGUGGUGUGGUGUGGGGUGGUGGUGGAUGGUGAUUGUAAGUGGGAGAGAGGGAGAGGUGAGAAAGAGAGAGCGUAGAUGGUUAUUUAUUUAUUUAUGUAUACAUAACUUUUCAAUUUUUUUUAAUUUUUUUAAAGUAUUUUUUAUUAAAAUGGUUUGGUAUUUUAGUUAUUUACAUAAUUAGUCCCUAAAAAGGUGAGAUGACAAAAUUGCCCUCAUAUGCGACUAUGCAAGGCACAUGACCAGAUUUAACAAAAAAAUAACAAAAUAAUAAAAAUAAAAAUAACUUAGUUAGGCUCAAAGGACAAAACUUGUAGCAUUUGGAAACAUUAAGUAUAAAGGUCAUCAAUUUUAAAGGCAAAGGACACCGCCUAAAAUUUGGUAUAAAAGAUAAAGGACAAAACUUGCAAUUUACUCAAACCUUUUUUUAGUUAUGACAAUGCAAAUUGAUUUAAAAUUGUAGAAAUUAUCAUACGAACAAAAGAAAAUCUUUUAAGGUAAUAUACUAAUGUGCAUUAGCUUAAUUGUUCCACCAGUCGAAAAAGUGUGAAAGAUAUCAUACAUGAAUUCUUGCCAAGCCCCGUUAUAAAGCAAAAUAGUGUGUGUUCCAAACCUAUUCAAUCCAAUUCUUGUGUUUUAGCCCGCCCAGUAUUAUCUUCUCUCGUUUUCUCUCUUCAUUACUGUGACGGAAAAUAACUCUCAAGCUCCAAAGCAUCGAGGGAGGCCCACAGGGUCAAAGAACAAAAGGAAUAGAGAUGGUACAAAUACGGGUACAGGUAUGCUAUGUAGUUAAUAUCGGUGAUAUAUCGGUUAUAUCGGUCAUAUCGGUACUCUAGUAAAAUAUCGGUGUCAAAUAUCCAUCAGAUCGGUACCGAUAUUAUUGGCAAUAUUGACCGAUAUAUCACCGGUAUCUGACUUAUAUAACUGAUAUAUCACUGAUAUUUGACCUAUAUAUCACCGAAUUAUUAGUGUUAAAUUGCUAUAUAUAUAAAAUAUGCAUUAUAUUAAAAUUACCGAUAUCCCACCGAUAUCUCACCGAGAUAAUCUAUAUCUCAAAUAUCGGUUCUUGACCGAUAUCCGAUAUUUUACCGCAUUAACUGCAUAGCGGGUAUGGGCCUAUGCAGUCAGUAGUGUGCUAUAGCGCUUAGCAGACAUACGAUCUCAUAGUGGUUCAAAUAGCGGUCCUUUAUAGCGGUUUCGCUAUUAGCGGUGCUAAAAGUCGCUAUUUGACCACUUUUCUGAAACCCGUAUAGUGGUCAUAGCACUGAUUUUAGCGGGUUUUUUUUACAGCCCAAAAGCCCAUAUUAAUCAACUUUUUGUUUGAAAUAAACCCAAAACUAAAGGCCCAAACCCAAAAUUAAACCUAAAUUGAGGUCUAAAGUCUUCAUUCACUGGACACUGGUUCUUCAUCAGUCAACAAAAUUAAGCGUAAAUCUAGAAAUUGCUGGACUUACACUUUUUAAAUCCUAAUUCGCUAAUGUUACUAUGAAUUUUGAUAUUACUAUUACUAUUAAUAGUUUCAAAUAUAUAUUUAUGUAUAUAUAUAUACACACACACACAUAAAUUAUGAUGAUAUAAAAAUUACCGCUAUACUACCGCUAUAUCAUAUAGCGGACCUUGACCGCUAUAUGAUUUUGGACCGCUAUAACUGUUUAGGUAUUGGCAUGGGUAUGGGUAUGGGUAUGGGUUUACAACUAAAGGUCCUUGAUGUGGCAGCUGGGUGUGAUGUCAUUGCUGCAGUCUAUGAUUUCACUAACCACCAUCAAUUGGAGGGUGUUAGUGUUAUAAGUGCACAUGGGAUUGUGCGCGAUGUCACUGUGUACCAACCAAACACACCUCCUUUCUUCACAUGCAACAGUGUUUAUAAACUGCUCUGAAAGGAAACUUUUAUGGAUCUUCAUCUUCCAUCAGACCAUCAUCGCGCUUUUCUACUCGCCACAUUGCAUCUUUUUUAAGUGAGGAAGGAAACCUCAUUAUCGGGAUCAUUCAAGGAAAGUUAACUGCAGAAAGUAGUGUGUUUCUGUUAUCAACAGGGCUGAAUCUAUCAAACUGCCUCUGCCUCGUGCUUUACGUGUUUCUCGAUCCGAAUGGUGGUAUGCGUACAUCAACUGCUGGUCGAACUGAGUUUUCUUCGGGUGUUGGAAGGUCCAGGACAGCUUAUGAUGUUCCUACAACUCCACCAACCCCCUUGACCUCAUGGAACCCGAUGAUCAAUAACUUUCGUCUACCUCCCGUUCAACGGAUUCCGAUAGGUCUGUCGUGAGGGGAAGUCUUGGUUAAGCGCGACAGCUAUUACUAGAUCUGGUUUUGUUAGGAAUAAAGAAGCAGAGUUUUGUUCCAUUUCCGUUUAUUGGUGUCGUAGAUGGCUCUUUUUUAUUCUGUUAAGCGUGACAUGUUUUUUAUUCUGUUGUUGAUUACUCUGCUAUUUUAAUGGAUUCAGUGCUUUAAUUUCA